rnacentral:rRNA from 1 species
CAAGAAUAUUAGUCAAUGCUCGCAAGAGUGAACUAGCUAACUGAAAUCAGAAAAUUAAUGUGUAACAAGCGUUAGUGGAUUGAUAAUGUAAGGGAAAAAAUUGAUGUUACCUUACUACAAGUGUUGUCCAAAACUGGUGCCAGAAGACUCGGUAAGGCCAGAAACACAAACGUUAGUCUUAAUGAACAGGCGUAAAGGGUUCGUAGGCAGCUUGAAAAAUUUAGAUUAAUAAGCUAAAAAAUUAAUUUAAAAUUCAGUAAAGAUAUAAUCAAAAGUAGGUUUAGACGAUAAAUGCUUAGAGUAGGAGCCACAUCCACAGAUACUAGGUGGAGUUCUAAUGGCGAAAGCUAUUUUUCCAAUAAUGAUUGAAGCUGAGGAACGAAGGUUUGAACAGAAAAUAGGAUUCGAUACCCAGAUAUCUCUUACUGUCAACUAUGAAUGGUAGUUAUUAGUAAAUUUACUAGUUUCGAUGUUAACGCGUUAACCAUUCCGCCUUGAGAGUACGGUCGCAAGACUGAAACCAAAAAAUUAGUCGGUCUCGAAGCAAACGAAGUGAAGCAUGUUAUUUAAUUCCGAUAAAUCG